AGUGAACGCUGGCGGUAGGCCUAACACAUGCAAGUCGAACGGCAGCACAGUAAGAGCUUGCUCUUACGGGUGGCGAGUGGCGGACGGGUGAGGAAUACAUCGGAAUCUACUUUUUCGUGGGGGAUCACGUAGGGAAACUUACGCUCAUACCGCAUACGACCUACGGGUGAAAGCAGGGGAUCUUCGGACCUUGCGCGAUUGAAUGAGCCGAUGUCGGAUUAGCUAGUUGGCGGGGUAAAGGCCCACCAAGGCGACGAUCCGUAGCUGGUCUGAGAGGAUGAUAAGCGACACUGGAACGGAGACACGGUCCAGACGCCUACGGGAGGCAGCAGUGGGGAAUAUUGGACAAUGGGCGCAAGCCUGAUCCAGCCAUACCGCGUGGGUGAAGAAGGCCUUCGGGUUGUAAAGACCUUUUGUUGGGAAAGAAAAGCAGCAGGUUAAUACCCCGCUGUUCUGACGGUACCCAAAGAAUAAGCACCGGCUAACUUCGUG
rnacentral:rRNA from 1 species